UCAAGAAACUUCCACAAUGGGCGAAAGCCUGAUGGAGCGACGUCGCGUGAUGGACGAAGUGCUUCGGCACGUAAACAUCUUUUAUGUGGGAUGAAAUUAUUGACAGUACCACAUGAAUAAGGGGCUCCUAACUCUGUGCCAGCAGCCGCGGUAAUACAGAGGGUGCAAGCGUUAAUCGGAAUUACUGGGCGUAAAGCGCACGUAGGCGGUUUUUUAAGUCAGAUGUGAAAGCCCCGGGCUCAACCUGGGAAUUGCAUUUGAAACUGGAAAACUAGAGUGUGUGAGAGGGGGGUAGAAUUCCACGUGUAGCAGUGAAAUGCGUAGAUAUGUGGAGGAAUACCGAUGGCGAAGGCAGCCCCCUGGGCUAACACUGACGCUCAUGCACGAAAGCGUGGGGAGCAAACAGGAUUAGAUACCCAUGUAGUCCCUGAGCGGGCUGGCAAGGCGCAU
rnacentral:rRNA from 1 species